rnacentral:SRP_RNA from 1 species
AGUCCCCUCGCGACACGAUGUUGUGAACCCCGUCAGGCCUGGAAGGGAGCAGCGGCAGCAACGGAUGUGGGUGACGAGGUGUGGCGGG